rnacentral:lncRNA from 1 species
AGGGAUUGAUUUAAGUGAAUGUUCAAAAGAACCUGGUCCUAAGUCAAACAUAGCAAUGAGAUGCUACCUCAACUUUGGACAGUACUUUACAUACAAAGGGAAUUAAAGGGAAAUGGAUCACACGAAAACAUUCAUAUAAACAUCGAGAAAAUCAUAACAGAACUUAAAGAUGCAUGAGCAUGAAGCAAGAACAUAACAAACUAAUGUAUAGUCAUAUAAUGCAAGAAGGCUAAACAUGUAGUGAGGAAUUAUGUAAAGGUAGAAGUAAACACAUAGUUUUGGAGCAUGGUAUUUAAAUUAUAG